GCGGUGCAGGGGGGAAGUCAACCAACUUUCCCAAGCUGAUAAAAAUCAACCAACCAGUUCUCUUGGUUGGGGAGUUAUUUGGGUGGUAACGAAGCAGUGGACGAGGCAAUCAAUCGAGCACACCAUUGAGACAUGGAUCAACCUCCACUCAUUGACGGAGUUGUGCUGACUUAGAUCAUUGAUGAUUAAAGUGAUGGCAGAUCUACCAGCUCACUUCACAUCAGAGAGCUCUCUUGAGAAGCACCAUAGAA